UACCCGCUCCCCGAGUGGUGGGGACGCUUAUUGGGCCUAAAGCAUCCGUAGCCGGCUGGGUAAGUCCCCUGUUAAAUCCAGCGAUUUAAUCGCUGGACUGCGGGGGAUACUGCCCAGCUAGGGGGCGGGAGAGGCCGGCGGUAUUCCCGGGGUAGGGGUGAAAUCCUAUAAUCCCGGGAGGACCACCAGUGGCGAAGGCUGCCGGCUGGAACGCGCCCGACGGUGAGGGAUGAAAGCUGGGGGAGCGAACCGG
rnacentral:rRNA from 1 species